UGUCCAGAACUAGUAGAAGAUACACCUAUUC
rnacentral:piRNA from 1 species